rfam:Pseudozyma antarctica T-34 DNA, contig: scaffold00025.
GCUCCUUUAGCUCAGUGGGAGAGCGCGCCACUCGUAAGACAUUCGAAAUGGUGAGGUCACUAGUUCAAUCCUGGUAGGGAGCA